UAGGGAAUCUUCCGCAAUGGACGCAAGUCUGACGGAGCAACGCCGCGUGAGUGAUGAAGGUUUUCGGAUCGUAAAGCUCUGUUGCCAGGGAAGAAUUCCUCGGAGAGUAACUGCUCCGGGGGUGACGGUACCUGAGAAGAAAGCCCCGGCUAACUACGUGCCAGCAGCCGCGGUAAUACGUAGGGGGCAAGCGUUGUCCGGAAUUAUUGGGCGUAAAGCGCGCGCAGGCGGUACUUUAAGUCUGGUGUUUAAGCCCGAGGCUCAACCUCGGUUCGCACUGGAAACUGGAGUACUUGAGUGCAGGAGAGGAAAGCGGAAUUCCACGUGUAGCGGUGAAAUGCGUAGAGAUGUGGAGGAACACCAGUGGCGAAGGCGGCUUUCUGGACUGUAACUGACGCUGAGGCGCGAAAGCGUGGGGAGCAAACAGGAUUAGAUACCCGCGUAGUCC
rnacentral:rRNA from 1 species